rnacentral:rRNA from 1 species
UACGGGGGGGGCAAGCGUUGUUCGGAAUUACUGGGCGUAAAGGGUUCGUAGGUGGCUUGCUCAGUCAGACGUGAAAUCCCUCAGCUUAACUGGGGAACUGCGUCUGAUACUGGCGAGCUUGAGUGCAGGAGAGGAACGCGGAAUUCCAGGUGUAGCGGUGAAAUGCGUAGAUAUCGGAAGGAACAUCAGUGGCGAAAGCGACUUCCUGGACCAAUACUGACGCUCAUGUGCGAAAGCGUGGGGAGCAAACAGG